AGGACGAACGCUGGCGGCGUGCUUAACACAUGCAAGUCGAGCGGAAAGGCCCUUCGGGGUACUCGAGCGGCGAACGGGUGAGUAACACGUGGGCAGCCUGCCCCUAGCUCUGGGAUAACUCCGGGAAACCGGUGCUAAUACCGGAUACGACCUCAAUUGGCAUCUUCUGAGGUGGAAAGAUUUAUUGGCUAGGGAUGGGCCCGCGGCCUAUCAGCUUGUUGGUGGGGUAAUGGCCUACCAAGGCGACGACGGGUA
rnacentral:rRNA from 1 species